CAGAGGGUGCAAGCGUUAAUCGGAAUUACUGGGGCGUAAAGCGCGCGUAGGUGGUUUGUUAAAGUUGAAUGUGAAAAUCCCCCGGGCUCAACCUGGGAACUGCAUCCAAAAACUGGCAAGCUAGAGUACGGUAGAGGGUGGUGGAAUUUCCUGUGUAGCGGUGAAAAUGCGUAGAUAUAGGGAAAGGAACAUCAGUGGCGAAGGCGACCACCUGGACUGAUACUGACACUGAGGUGCGAAAAGCGUGGGGGAGCAAACAGGAUU
rnacentral:rRNA from 1 species